rnacentral:rRNA from 1 species
CUAGGGGAGGCAGCAGUGGGGAAUAUUGCACAAUGGGCGCAAGCCUGAUGCAGCCAUGCCGCGUGUAUGAAGAAGGCCUUCGGGUUGUAAAGUACUUUCAGCGGGGAGGAAGGUGUUGAGGUUAAUAACCUCAGCAAUUGACGUUACCCGCAGAAGAAGCACCGGCUAACUCCGUGCCAGCAGCCGCGGUAA